CGGGUGCACUGAUCCAGCCGGGCCUUUCCCUCUGUGGAACCCCAUGGCCUUCACUGGCUGUGGUGGGGAAACAGGACUUUUACUUUGAAAAAAUUAGAGUGCUCCAGGCAGGCCUAUGCUCGAAUACAUUAGCAUGGAAUAAUAGAAUAGGACGUGUGGUUCUAUUUUGUUGGUUUCUAGGACCGCCGUAAUGAUUAAUAGGGACAGUCGGGGGCAUCAGUAUUCAAUUGUCAGAGGUGAAAUUCUUGGAUCUAUUGAAGACUAACUACUGCGAAAGCAUUUGCCAAGGAUGUUUUCAUUGAUAAGGAACGAAAGUUAGGGGAUCGAAGACGAUCAGAUACCGUCGUAGUCUUAACUAUAAACUAUGCCGACUAGGGAUCGGACGAUGUUAUUCUUUGACGCGUUCGGCACCUUUCGAGAAAUCAAAGUGCUUGGGCUCCAGGGGGAGUAUGGUCGCAAGGCUGAAACUUAAAGAAAUUGACGGAAGGGCACCACCAGGGGUGAAACCUGCGGCUUAAUUUGACUCAACACGGGGAAACUCACCAGGUCCAGACACAGUGAGGAUUGACAGAUUGAGAGCUCUUUCUUGAUUCUGUGGGUGGUGGUGCAUGGCCGUUCUUAGUUGGUGGAGUGAUUUGUCUGCUUAAUUGCGAUAACGAACGAGACCUUAACCUGCUAAAUAGCCCGUACUGCUUUGGCAGUUCGCCGGCUUCUUAGAGGGACUAUCGG
rnacentral:rRNA from 1 species